CUAGAAAGAACCAAUCAAAACUCGCGUCUUAUCCAGCAUUCAUGCAGUCAUCAUGAUGACGGUUGUUUCACAUUAACACAAAACCUUUUAAGGGCGAAAGAGUGAUCAAUUUUGAUGACAUUAGCAAUGAGCUGUAGCACUGUUCCCAACUUGAACAUCAUCUUCUGUGUACAUACCUGAGGCAGAGCCAGCUUGCCCAUCUGACAUCUGUUGUGGACAAGCGAGUCAGAGCCAGCUUGCACGUCAUCUGUUGUGGACAUCCGUGUUAGAGCCAGCUUGCACGUCCUCUAUUGUGGACAUCGGUGUUAGUGCUAGCUUGCAUGUCAUCUGUUGUGAACAUCCGUGUAAGAGCCAGCUUGCACGUCAUCUCUUUUGGACAUCAGUGUUAGAGCCAGCUUGCACAUCCUCUGUUGUGGACAUCUGUGUAAGUGCUAGCUUGCACGUAAUCUGUUGUGGACAUCUGUGUUAGAGCCAGCUUGCACGUCAUAUGUUUAGGACAUCAGUCAGAGAUAGCUUGCAUGUUAUUUACUUGUGGACGUAAGUCAGAGCCAGCAAGGACAAUCUCUGUUGUGGAUAUCUGUCUUAGAGCUUGCACGUCAUCGGUUGUUCACAUCUUUGUAAUAACCAGCUUGCACAUCAACUGAUGUGGAAAUCUGAGUCAGAGCCAGCUUGCACAUCAUCCGUUGUGGACAUCUCUUUAUGAUUCUACUCUUUGCUUAGAUUGACACUGUGACUUUAGUGUAAUAUGUUACAACCUUAAGCUAUUCCUAUUGUUGAAUAAAAAUAUUGUGUCAUUAAAAUAUAUUUUGUUGGAUAA